GUGUCAGCAGCCGCGGUAAUACGAAUGGGGCAAGCGUUGUUCGGAUUUACUGGGCGUAAAGCGGGCGUAGGCGGCCGGCUAAGUCGGAUGUGAAAUCCCGGGGCUCAACUCCGGAACUGCAUUCGAUACUGGUCGGCUAGAGUUCGAGAGGGGGAUGCGGAAUUCCGCGUGUAGCAGUGAAAUGCGUAGAUAUGCGGAGGAACACCUGAGGCGAAGGCGGCAUCCUGGAUCGACACUGACGCUGAGGCCCGAAAGCGUGGGGAGCAAACAGGAUUAGAUACCCUGGUAGUCCACGCUGUAAACGAUGGGCACUAGGUGUUGGUCCCGGUUCGGCCGGGGUCGGUGCCGCAGCUAACGCGUUAAGCACCCCGCCUGGGGAGUACGGCCGCAAGGUUAAAACUCAAAGGAAUUGACGGGG
rnacentral:rRNA from 1 species